GACGAACGCUGGCGGCGUGCUUAACACAUGCAAGUCGAACGGAAAGGCCCUGCUUUUGUGGGGUGCUCGAGUGGCGAACGGGUGAGUAACACGUGAGUAACCUGCCCUUGACUUUGGGAUAACUUCAGGAAACUGGGGCUAAUCCCGGAUAGGAGCUCCUGUUGCAGGGUGGGGGUUGGAAAGUUUGGGCGGUUGGGGAUGGACUGGCGGCUUAUCGGCUUGUUGGUGGGGUAGUGGCUUACCAAGGCUUUGACGGGUAGCCGGCUUGAGAGGGUGACCGGCCACAUUGGGACUGAGAUACGGCCCAGACUCCUACGGGAGGCAGCAGUGGGGAAUAUUGCACAAUGGGCGGAAGCCUGAUGCAGCAACGCCGCGUGCGGGAUGACGGCCUUCGGGUUGUAAACCGCUUUCGCCUGUGACGAAGCGUGAGUGACGGUAAUGGGUAAAGAAGCACCGGCUAACUACGUG
rnacentral:rRNA from 1 species